UACGGAGGAUCCAAGCGUUGUCCGGAUUUAUUGGGUUUAAAGGGUGCGUAGGCGGAUUACUAAGUCAGGGGUGAAAGUUUGCAGCUUAACUGUAAAAUUGCCUUUGAAACUGGUAAUCUUGAGUAUAGUUGAGGUGGGCGGAAUGUGUCAUGUAGCGGUGAAAUGCUUAGAUAUGAUACAGAACACCGAUUGCGAAGGCAGCUCACUAAACUAAAACUGACGCUGAGGCACGAAAGCGUGGGGAGCAAAC
rnacentral:rRNA from 1 species